UACAGAGGGUGCGAGCGUUGUCCGGAAUCACUGGGCGUAAAGGGCGCGUAGGUGGCGACCCAAGUCGAUGGUGAAAGCUCGCCGCUCAACGGCGAGUCGGCCACUGAUACUGGGUUGCUGGAGCACUGUAGAGGCAGGCGGAAUUCCGGGUGUAGCGGUGGAAUGCGUAGAGAUCCGGAAGAACACCGGUGGCGAAGGCGGCCUGCUGGGCAGUUGCUGACACUGAGGCGCGACAGCGUGGGGAGCAAACAGG
rnacentral:rRNA from 1 species